GUGGCCAGAAUGGAUCCUGCUUCUCCAUAUCAGAAGAACAGGACAGGUUUUUAAGAGGGGUAUCACACGGUGAGACGUGUGAUGGGAGUUUAGACAGAAUGCUCUGGAAGCAUAAGGCAGGAAUUAUGUGUGUGUGUGUGUGCGCGCGCGCGCCCGUGUGUUUGUGUUUGUGUGUGCGUGUGUGCUUGUGCAUGUGUGUGUGUGCUUGUGUGUGUCUGUGUCUGUAUGUCAGUGUGUUUGGGGAGUAGCAGGAGAAUUGGAGGAGGCCUAAUCCAGUUGGAGGAGACCCUAGCAAAUUCCACAGAGAAUUUUCCCUGUUUGAAAGUAGGAGUUGGGGGAGUAGAGAGAAAAAUUUUUAUUUCAGCCUAUGCCUAUAGUAUUUGCAAAGACAAGGAGGCAGGAAAGAGUAUUUGAGAAUCUCCAGGCAGUUCAGUCUGACUAGGGGCCUAAGCAUUCCCAGCUAAUAAUUAGGAAGGCAGCCAGGGCCGGGUGCCGUGGCUCACUCCUGUAAGCCCAGCACUUUGGGAGGCCGAGGCAGGCAGAUCACUUGCGGUCAGGAGUUCCAGACCUGCCUGGCCAACAUGGUGAAACCCUGUCUCUACUAAAAAAUACAAAAAUUAGCAGGGUGUGGUGGUGCGUGCCCAUAAUCCCAGCUACUUGAGAGGCUGAGGCGUGAGAAUCACUUGAACCUGGGAGGCGGAAGUUGCAGUGAGCCCAGAUCACGCCACUGUACUCCAGCUUGGGCUGCAGAGCGAGACUCCAUCUUGAAAAAAAGAAAGGCAGCUUCGUUUUAAAUGACAAGUCAAAUAUCUUCCACUGAGAUCGUGUGGUUUUAAUCAUACAAGGAGAGUGGCAGAAGAACAGAAAGAUUGAAACCAAGGACAGAGAACACCUGAAAUUGGUAUCUAUCAUCAUUCCCAUUCUGCAAUGAGGAAAUGCUGUCAGAGUGAUGAAGUAAUUUGCCCAUGGUCUCACAUAGAAGCCUGUCUUCUCCAGGGAACACAGCACUCAGAACCGUCUCGGCCCCUGCAUAAGCCUGCAUGAGCCUGGGCUCUGGGGACCCAUCCUGGUGCAUCAUUCGUGGGCUCUGUGACAAUGGGCACAUCGUUUAACCUCUCUUGGCUUCAUUCUCCUUACUGGAAUGAUGGAGAGAGUUUUGCCUAUUUCAGAGGCUUGCUCUUCUAUACGUGAGCCUAUAAGUAACUUGUCUUAAGAAUUUCCACUCCUUCCAUACUCUGAUUUAAAUUUGAAGGCAUCAAAACAAAAACAAUCAAGAUUUCAGAUUCCAAAUACUUCCAUUUUCAUUUUUUAUUAUGAUUAGAAUUUCUUCUGAAUGAAUUUCUGUUUUGUAAUUUUAGCAUUGCCCUAAGGGGGGAAAAAGGCAGUUUAUCACCAUGCAGUAUAUUUUUCAGACAGCCUCUCUUUGACAAACUGAUUUUUGUCAGUCUCAACUGACUCACCAAUUCCAAAUCCCAGGGCUUCCCUGGGAAACUUCCUUGGAUCAUGGCUCUGCCACACAGGACCGACAUCCCAGAGGCCAAAGCAACCUGCUAUAAACUGAGAUCAUUGCUCAGCAAGCUGGUACCACAUGCAAGGAGUCUCAAGAGCUAACAGGAAAUGAUUCAAGACCAGAAUUAGCCAGAGCAAGUGUGUUAGCUUCCUCUGCGCAUGGGAUAAUAAGGAGCUUGCAUCACCAACCUUCCGUGAAUAGCCUACUCAGUGAUUCAACAGGUUUCAAAAAUUGUGAAAUAAGGGAUGUCUCUUGCAUGGUGUACUUUGGAAGUCUCUACCUGAGGAUGAAGGAAGUACCCAGGAGUAGGCAUCAUUCCACUUUUGUACCGUCUUCCACUAUGUUUACAUGGGUCCUCACUGAGAAAAAGAAACUGCACAAAAGAAAGAAAAAUGCAAGUUGGAGAAGAGACCAACAUGGAGCUUGUGCUUGCUCUCAUUAAGAACUCAAUCUCUUGAAAAAUCAGAUUUUAAUAUUUCUAUGGGUGAGCACGGAUUUCACAUCAGCUCCCCAUAGCCUUCUUGGGUCCAUCAGUUCAUCACUUCUAGAAGUUGGCCACCUGUGAAGCCACUUAGGGGAGGUCACUCAUCACUGCUGGUGACAAUGGUGCUCUGUGUGUGAAUACUCAUGUUCAUAGCCAUGGCAGAGGAUUUUCUCUCCAGGUGAAACAGUGUUGCUGUGUUUCCCUCUCUCUUCCAGUCUCACACGUUCAGGAAAAUUAAUCCCCAAAGUCCUCAUUCAUUAUUUAGCAAAUAUGUUCAAAUAGGAGAGAAUAUCAGCUAAGUUUAAGCUAAGGCCCUCUGCUAAGGAAAUACAAAAUAUAUAUGUGAAAAGGAAAUUCUAGUUGAAGAACAGUAUGAAAACUCCCAAAAUGGGCUGGAGAAUUUGUGAUUACAGUCUUGAGAGAUCAUUUAAAAAUAGAAUCAGAUUAGCAAAUGCGUUCAGUGCUAGGUAGGGGAGUUAGUCAUAAAUCUAACAGGCUCUAUGUAGAGCCACUGAAGACAGACAUAGUUAAAACUCAAGUUGAUUUCUGUAUAUUAUUUUUAAUGACUUAGAAUUCAAUCCAAAAUUUGCUUAGUGUUAUUGUGUACCUUUGUGCAAAGAAUGCACACUUUCUAAGCAUCAGUUGUUCUUCUGUGAAAUUGGGAUAAUUUUACUUUUGUCAAGGGCUGCCCUGAGGAGUGAAUCAGAUGCUAUACGUAAGCUCAGUUGGUACAAGGCCUAAUAGUAGUGGCUUAAUGCAUGUACUCUUCUUCUUUUUCCUUAAUAGAAGAAUAAGGUGAAAUUAAAAACAAGGUUGAUAAUUACAUGUAUAUUUUAAUGAUUCAUCAAUCAAUAUAUGAUAACAUUAACAAUAAUUUUACUGUCAGUACUUAGAAGUUAAAAGGAGAAUGGUAAAAUCAGUCUGUUGAUCCUAAAAGUUUUAUUUUUUCUUUCAUCCUUUCAUAAAUUAUAUCUGAAUCUAGAUUACUGAAAUGCAACGAAUAAAAA